rnacentral:lncRNA from 1 species
CCUGAAACAGAGCAGGACAAGACAGAUACUGUUUCUCAGUGCCCAGCCAGGGAUGUGUGUGUGUGUAUGUGUGUGAGUAUAUCUCUGUGAGUGCAUGUCCGUGCACAUGGUCAUGGAAGUGUAACUUAUGUGUGUGUUUGCGUGUGUGAGAAUGUAUGCAUGUCCGUGUCCGUGUGCCUCUAUGUGCGCUUGUGCACUGUGUUUAUGUGUGUUGUGUGUGCAUGCCUGUGCGUGUGUGUGAGCGUGUGUGCACACGCACCUUGGAAGGGAAUGGAGCAGGAUAUAUUUUCACUGACGCUGAAGGCAGAUGCCUAUCUGCUCUGAGUCCAGAAUGGAGAGAUACUGGAAAAUCUAUGAAUGGAUGUGGCUAGAACCCAUAAAAUUAGAAAUGAUGCAAAAUUUUUUAGAUUCACAAUAUUUUUGAUGUCUAAUGAUUCCCCAAACAACUUACAAAGCUGAUGGACCCCGAGAUCGACAAGGUAGCUGAGGGAGCAGUGUGGAGAUAAAAAGAGGUUUACUUUCUGUUGUUAUCUAUGCUUUUCUAUAAUGCAGGCUUCUGUGUCUCCUCAUGCCCCCUACUUGCCAGAGAAAUUGCUUCCUUUGUCUGAACUUGUUUACAACAGAUGCCUUAUUACAGCCAGGGUUUUAAUUCUCAUGAAUACUGAAAACAAAAAGGAGGGAGAAAAAAACACAAUAAACAGUAUCUAUCUACAAACAUUUUUAAACAGAGCUGGAGGAGAUGACAAAUAUAUUUCUAAAUGAUUUUAGUUUGAGAAGGAGGCUGGAAGCCUGGCCUUCCCCCGAAGGAGUUAAGUCCCCGGGGCAGGGAUAAUUAUGACUAUUUGUGUUCGUUAUACACAUAGAGCUGUAAGGAUCUGUUGUCUUUCUCUGUGGUAUAUGAUUUCUAUUCAGUGGGCUUCUGCUAAAACACAGAUUUUAUAUUUACUGCUGAAGCUGAUUCUAGUCCUUUUUCUUUCAUGCAAAACUGAAAUAUUGUAUUUCAGCAACUGCUUUGGUAAUAGUGAAAAUCCAGACCUAGAAUGCAACAUAUUUGUUUGUUAAGAUUAAGAGUGCAUUUUCAUCUGCGCAGAUGAAUGUGAUGUUGUAUUAAAAAGCAAGCAGUGCCUUUCUUCCCUCACUGACACCUGAUUAAACACAAAAAUGCUAAAUGUAAAUCCAAAGUCAGAAAUUAUCAAGCUUUGGAUGUCUAAUAAUUGAAAAAGCCUCUGGUUCUCAGAAAGCAGUCUUUGUAUACAGCUGCGACAGGCCUUCCCAAAGCCCCAUGGCAACUGUACACAGGCCCAGGCUGUAGCAGUGGCUGCCGUGCCAUGAUCUGGCUUUCGAUGUAAAAAGUGUCUCUCUUAGCUAAUUAAUCAGUAACUCAGAGAACCCACUAAUCAGAGAGAGUACCAAACACCUCCUGCAUUCACGUCACCUUUGCAAUGGAGCUGUCUGAAGUAGUUUCAAAUCAUGUAGCAUUUAGCAUUUGGUAAAAAUCAGUGUACCAGGAAAAGGGAGAGAUACCAAAUAUCCUGGCACCCCUGGGUACUACUUGCCACACUUUGUCCCUUGUGAAGUCCACAAUACAUUGGUAUUAAAGAUUAACUCUGUGGACAGCACAGAAGUCUUCUGGCUGACCAGGGCAGAGCUGUAGAGUGACAGCAUGUCAAAGGGCUCUGAGAAUAGGACUUUAAAAUCCCAUCGAGGGCCUAGCUUAGAGGUAGGGAGUGGGAAGAAGCCAGGUCAAAAGAUCUCUGAUGGAGGCCAAAAGACUGCUUUUACAGAAAAUGGGUAGGGAACUUUUGUGUAGGCAAGCACGAAGAGACGAGCAAGUUAAACUUCUAAAAGGUAACCAAAGGACAGCAAGCUGGGGUGACUUCCACAGUAAGGGAGCUGGUACAAAGGCAGGGGUGGAAUGAGUCAUUGAAAAUUAUUGACCAUCAGCAAAACCGUGGGCAAUUCAUGGCAGUCCAGGGUGGAUGAAAUAUUCCCUAAGAGGGUGUUGAUUUAUAGUUAUAGGUGAAUUAUAAAUAGGGAUCAUGGGAGGGAAUAGAACAUUCAGGGAAAAUGGGACUAAGACACUGUUCAGGUUCAAGCAAGCAGGAAAGAACUUUUCAAAUGCAAGAUAGGACUCAGGUUUCCCUUUGGAUCCCCUUAUCAUAGGGCAACUAUUGUCCCGAGUUGUUUGGGACCCUGGAUCACAUGGUUAAGCUCUCCAGCUACACUUCUGGUGGGUUCAUAGGAGGAUACGUGAACCUGAGGUAGGGAGUCGUGGUGUUCCUGAAGCUGGGAUGUGUUGCAACUAGAGGGAACUCUGUUUAUCAUCUCACUAAACUGUUCAAUCAUAGAUGUGGAAGCUGAGUCUCGACACGGUGAAAAGACAUGGCUAAAAUCCACUCAGCUGGGUAGAGCUUCUACUCAACAGCAUGAGUAGAAGAAAGAUCUCAUUGAUAGCCUCUUUUUUUUAAUGUGUCUGUACUUGGUUAUGGUUUGACUUGGGUCUGCCAUCUUUUAUUUUCAAAGGCUUUCAAAGCACUUACCUAAGCCAGUGAACUCCACAAUCCUUAUGGUCACCAGUGUCCUUGUUCCGUUGAAACACCCUCACCAUUACAAAAGUUAGUGCUUCUUCUGUCCACUCAGCCCAAUCUACCACCCAUGGAAAUCUUGGUAACUCUGACACUGCUUCAGACCCAGGCUCCAUACCAUAAAUUUGCAGAUUGGAGCCCUCUACUGGAGGUGGAAGCAGGGUUCCCUUAAAGAAGAACCCUGCCCUGCUACUGUGAGUAUACACAACGCUCAUCCCCAAUCUUCUUCCAAAAGGACCUUCAGUCUUUACUUGGGGAAGAGGAAAUACUUAGAAAUUUUGCAUGUUUUUAUUUUACUUUUUUAUUUUUUUAAAGAUUUAUUUAUUUAUUUAUGAUACACACAGAGAGAGAGGCAGAGACACAGGAGGAGGGAGAAGCAGGCUCCAUGCAGGGAGCCCGACGUGGGACUCGAUCCCAGGACUCCAGGAUCAUGCCCUGGGCCAAAGGCAGGCGCUAAACCGCUGAGCCACCCAGGGAUCCCCUGUUUUUAGACACCAAAUCUGACCUGACACUCAGAAACUCAACAGUCCAAUAUAAUUCCAUGGCUAGAGUGAUUAGAGACCAGGAGAUUAAAGGUAUGAGCUGAAUCUCUCUGACAUUGGAUUUAUUGGGCUCAAGGAUCCACACUGUGGUUAUUUACUCAUUUUCUGAGUACAUAAUUGGUGUGAACAUACCUAGCAGCUGGAAGAGCCCUCACAUUGGUUCCCUGACCUAUAGGGGAAUAACCAUUAUCGUAGGAAAGGCUGAGUGAAAGCCUCUAAAUCUGUCCUACUGUUCUCUACUACCUAGUUCAGCCAAGAGAGUAAAUCACACCCUAGGAGGAACUGCAGAGAUUAGAGACAACAUUAAAGACUUAAAGACGCAUGGGUGGUAUUUCCUAUUAUGUUCUUAUCCAAUUUACUUGUGAGGCCUCCAUAAGACCUCCAUGGGUGCAGUGCAUAAAUGGGCCAUAAACUUGAUCAAAUGGUAGUCUCUCAAUUGUGCUGUUGUGCUGGAUGUGGAAUCUUUACUGGAACUCAGUCUCUAACAUUGCAUAUGUGACUACUGAACUGGCAUCUUCCAUAGUCCUAUUAGUAAAGAAGACCCAAAGCAAUUUUAUUAUGCUUGGAAGACCAUCAACUCUCCAUCCCCAGGACCCCAUUAAUCCCCUUGUUUUCUGUCAUGGAUAAUUCUCAUGGACUCUAAUCAAUUGGUCUGCUAUAUUGGACAACUAUAUUGCUAAGUAAUCAGGUACUGGCAAGUACUGUGUAUUGGCUAGACACAUGUGGGCCAGAAAGGGGGAAAAUAACAGCAUGGAGAUUCAGGGACCUGCAAUACCAGUGAAGAUGUUAGGGAUUUAAUGGCUUACGGAACAUUGCCAUUUCCUUUGACAUAAAGGACAGAUUACUGGUCAUGUACUCU